rnacentral:rRNA from 1 species
GACGAAGGAUGCAAGCGUUAUCCGGAUUCAUUGGGUUUAAAGGGUCCGUAGGCGGACUCGUAAGUCAGUGGUGAAAUCUCAUAGCUUAACUAUGAAACUGCCAUUGAUACUGCGGGUCUUGAGUAAGGUAGAGGUAGCUGGAAUAAGUAGUGUAGCGGUGAAAUGCAUAGAUAUUACUUAGAACACCAAAUUGCGAAGGCAGGUUACCAUGUCUUAACCUGACGCUGAUGGACGAAAGCGUGGGGAGC